UAAGUUUUUGAGUUCAAUAGUAUUUUAACGAUGUCGGGUUUGGGCUGAUAUAUGAGUUUUCUUUGGUCUAAAUAUAUACAGAUAUCUGGUUCAACCUACUUUAGCAAGAACCAGAAGCACAGAGACAAUUUAAUAGCUCCUGAGGUGGAGGAGAGAAGAGAAAUGGAUAAUCUUAUUGGAAUUGGCAAUGACUACACAGAACUGAAGAAAAGAGGGCUUUGCUUAGUACCUUUGUCUAUGGUUCUUAAUUAUUUACCUCAAUAACUCUCCUUUCUCUUAUCUCUCUUCUUUAUGUAAAUAUUGAUCAUUUGAUGAAGGGUUAUUGUGUAUUCUAUGUACAAAAUGUGCAUGUUGUAAUAUGAUUGUAAUCAAGUGAAGGCAUUAGAAGAGAGAAAAGCAUAUGUAUAAAUUACUCAUAA